rnacentral:lncRNA from 1 species
AGUAAAGCAUGAGUUUGAUUAAUAAUUCUAGACUGAUUCAAUCCAAGGCCUUUUAUUUUUCUCUUCUUCUCUUGGAUGAAUCUAAGGAGGAAGGAAACUCACUAAUAAGGUUAUAGUACUCUCAUCUAAGAAGAAGAAGAAGUAUCCACUCCAGUCUGGAUUGAACCUCUGCACACUUGUCUAUGCUUAUCAGAGACUCGGAGGUCAGUCCCAGGAUGGAUGUCAUCUCAAUCAUCACUAAUCGUCAUUAAGGAUGGAUCCUUUGACCAAUGUGCAAUUGUCCAAUCUAACAUAAAGUAACUUUGGGAGAAAGUGACUUCGGCUUUGAGCUGUCUUGGCUCUUCACCACUUAAUAAGAUCUUUGAAGAUUCCUGUGAUCUUCUUCAACCCAUGGCAUUUUGAGUUCCUUUUACCUAACAAGUUUAUUCAUAAUUUUUAGCUGUCAGAAAUCAAGUUGGAACAACCUGCAAAUCUGUUCCAUAUUGAAUUCUUCCUUUGCUGCACUAGCUGUGGGUGAAUGAACUUGUUUUUUUCUUUUUUGCUUGUGUCAUUUGGAAUUGCUGUAUGGGGAAAAUAUUCAUAAUUGAAUGUGCCUGAAGAGGUAUUGGAUCAAUUCUGAUCCCCCACCAUUUCCUUGAUAAAUCAUGAGCUCUUAAGAGUAAGAAAGUAGCCCUAAACUGACAAUUUUCUUCCACCAAGAAGUUAAAAGCUUCCUUUUUCAGUUUGAACUACAGAAAGAAAUAACAUUAAGAACAAACAUACUGAAGCAAAAGGCAAGGUUGCUUAAACAAUCAAGUUUUUUGAAGGAUAAUAUCCUCAAGUUCUUAUUCAUGGAAAGAAUCCUAAACAAUUAUCUUUUAUGUAAAUGUAGGAAUUGUCUUUUUUCAGUUUUAACAAUAGGAAGAAAUGACAUUAAGAACAAACAUACUGAGGCAAAAAAAAGUCAAGUUGCUUGAGAGAUAAGAAAUCCAAGUAUAGAAAAACUUCCAAAUGAAUAAAAGAACCCUUCGAAAUUAAAUGUUGGUUAUUCUAUUCCUAAGCAUCUCAAGUUUUUGAUCUGAGGUAGUGUUUGGAACAAAUAAGCUUCAUACACUUCUAGUAGCUUUCUCUAGUAUUUAUUUAUUUUUAUUUUUAUUCUCUAGUAAAAUUUUUGUGGUCUUGUACUAAUAUGCUAAUUGACUUACCUCUUUUAACUAUAAUAUUUUUAAAUCUUCUUAAUACAUGUGAAUGAUUUAUUCUUAUUUUCAUUCAAGUAUCUUAACUUUUUUUCUUAAAAGCACGAGUUUAUUUAUAUGUUAUUUUUCAAUUAUAUUAGAUCGAUAUUGCUCA